rnacentral:rRNA from 1 species
UACGUAGGUCCCGAGCGUUGUCCGGAUUUAUUGGGCGUAAAGCGAGCGCAGGUGGUUUAUUAAGUCUGGUGUAAAAGGCAGUGGCUCAACCAUUGUAUGCAUUGGAAACUGGUAGACUUGAGUGCAGGAGAGGAGAGUGGAAUUCCAUGUGUAGCGGUGAAAUGCGUAGAUAUUAGGAGGAACACCAGUUGCGAAGGCGGCUCUCUGGACUGUAACUGACACUGAGGCACGAAAGCGUGGGGAGCAAACAGG